GGGAAUAGCUAGUUUUGGAAUUAAAAUUCAUAAUUAGCCGUUUUGAUAAAUAUUUUUGUCAAAUUAGCCAUUUUGGUAAAAGAUCCUACAAUUAGAGGUGUCAAUAAUUUGAAUGUAUCGAUUGAGUUCAAUAAAGUCGGAUCAAGUCUUAUUAUAAAUAGGAAAUUUUGACAUUUACUACCACUAAAAACGGCACUCUUCAGAUUCACUACCAAUUUUUAAAAAAAAAAUUUACUUUGCUACCAGACAAAAUAGAGUUUGUUAAAAUUAACUACCACCUAACUAAUUCUGUCACUGUAGCCGUUUGUGGGGUCCACUACAACGGCUACGUGACUAUUCACCUCCAUUUAAACUCGAUUCUUCCUCUUUGCUCAUCCCUGGUUCAGAAUCUUUGCCUUACAAAAAAAAAGGAAAUUAAUCAAAGAUGAACACAAUUUCAUUCUAGCAAUCUACCGUGAAUACAUCGAGUGUGUUAAUCGGAUUUUGUGGGUUGAUUUGCGAAGGAAUUUCUUGCGGAAAACAGGGAAUUAUGACUUCAAUUAUGUGUUCACCCUCCAAAAUCAAGAAAUGUGAUUGUGACAUUCCCAUGGCUAGGCUCACCUCAUGGACAAGGGGUUGCAAGUUUUUUGACCCCAAAACAGAAACAAGGGGUUGUAAGUGUUUUGAGUGGCUUGAUGUAGAAGAUGGGACUGACUGAAGGAGGUGAUCAACCAAUUACUGUUGGACAAGAAACUUAUGAAAGGUGAGAUCAGCACACUCAAAGGGGAAGUAGAAGACUUAAGUGGACAAAGAAUAUGCUUGUUAACUAAGAAUGACAAUCUGAAAGUGAAGUGUAAAGCACUGAGUGCAGACAGGAAAAAAUUCAGUAGGGAAGGAAAGCAGAUCAAUGUUAGUGUUGGGUUUGUUGUGAUUAUUGCCACAUGUUGUGUUGUGAUGAUGAUAGGAAUGUUAGUUUUGCUUAAAUAAGUGAGUUAUGUAGGGUAGUAUUUGGUAGUAUGUAAUUGUGCUCAAAGUAUUUGGCAGUUUGAAGUUGUAAGAAUUUCAAAUAUGAAGGAAAUGCAGUUCUGACUUUUAUGAG